UGGGGAAUAUUGCACAAUGGGGGAAACCCUGAUGCAGCGACGCCGCGUGAGUGAAGAAGUAUUUCGGUAUGUAAAGCUCUAUCAGCAGGGAAGAUAAUGACAGUACCUGACUAAGAAGCCCCGGCUAACUACGUGCCAGCAGCCGCGGUGAUACGUAGGGGGCAAGCGUUAUCCGGAUUUACUGGGUGUAAAGGGAGCGUAGACGGAAUGGCAAGUCUGAAGUGAAAUACCCGGGCUCAACCUGGGAACUGCUUUGGAAACUGUUGUUCUAGAGUGUUGGAGAGGUAAGUGGAAUUCCUGGUGUAGCGGUGAAAUGCGUAGAUAUCAGGAAGAACACCGGAGGCGAAGGCGGCUUACUGGACAAUAACUGACGUUGAGGCUCGAAAGCGUGGGGAUCAAACAGGAUUAGAUACCCUGGUAGUCCACGCUGUAAACGAUGAAUACUAGGUGUCGGGGUGCAAAGCAUCUCGGUGCCGUCGCUAACGCAAUAAGUAUUCCACCUGGGGAGUACGUUCGCAAGAAUG
rnacentral:rRNA from 1 species